rnacentral:rRNA from 1 species
UAGGGAAUAUUAGUAAUGGGCGAAAGCCUGAACUAGCAACGCCGCGUGUGCGAAGAAGGCCUUCGGGUUGUAAAGCACUUUUUGAGAGGAUGAGGAAGGACGGUACUCUCAGAAUAAGUCUCGGCUAACUACGUGCCAGCAGCCGCGGUAACACGUAGGAGGCAAACGUUAUCCGGAUUUACUGGGCGUAAAGCGCGUGUAGGUGGUUUGGUAAGUAGGGCGUGAAAGCUCCUGGCUCAACUGGGAGAGGACGUUCUGAACUGCAGAGCUAGAGGAUGGUAGAGGGAGGUGGAAUUCCGGGUGUAGCGGUGGAAUGCGCAGAUAUCCGGAGGAACACCAGUGGCGAAAGCGGCCUCCUGGACCAUUCCUGACACUCAGACGCGAAAGCUAGGGUAGCAAACGG